rnacentral:rRNA from 1 species
AUUGAACGCUGGCGGCAGGCCUAACACAUGCAAGUCGAGCGAGCGGCGGACGGGUGAGUAAUGUAUGGGGACUGCCCGAUAGAGGGGGCUAACUAAUGGAAACGGUAGCUCAUACCCCACACUAUCGGAUAACCCAUAUGGGAUUAGCUAGUGGGUGGGGGAAUGGCUCACCUGGGCGCGGAUCCCUAGCUGGUCUGAGAGGAUGAGCAGCCACACUGGGACUGAGACACGGCCCAGACUCCUACGGAGGCAGCAGUGGGGAAUAUUGCACAAUGGGCGCAAGCCUGAUGCAGCCAGGCCGCGUGUAUGAAGAAGGCCCUAGGGUUGUAAAGUACUUUCAGUCGGGAGGCGUUACCGACAGAAGAAGCACCGGCUAACUCCGUGCCAGCAGCCGCGGUAAUUC